rnacentral:rRNA from 1 species
GAUGAACGCUGGCGGCGUGCCUAAUACAUGCAAGUCGAGCGAACAGACGAGAAGCUUGCUUCUCUGAUGUUAGCGGCGGACGGGUGAGUAACACGUGGGUAACCUACCUAUAAGACUGGGAUAACUCCGGGAAACCGGGGCUAAUACCGGAUAAUAUUUUGAACCGCAUGGUUCAAUAGUGAAUGACGGUUUCGGCUGUCCCUUAUAGAUGGACCCGCGCCGUAUUAGCUAGUUGGUAAGGUAACGGCUUACCAAGGCGACGAUACGUAGCCGACCUGAGAGGGUGAUCGGCCACACUGGAACUGAGACACGGUCCAGACUCCUACGGGAGGCAGCAGUAGGGAAUCUUCCGCAAUGGGCGAAAGCCUGACGGAGCAACGCCGCGUGAGUGAUGAAGGUCUUCGGAUCGUAAAACUCUGUUGCUAGGGAAGAACAAAUUUGUUAGUAACUGAACAAGUCUUGACGGUACCUAACCUGAAAGCCACGGCUAACUACGUGCCAGCCGCCGCCGUAA